rnacentral:rRNA from 1 species
GAUGAACGCUGGCGGCGUGCCUAAUACAUGCAAGUCGAGCGAACAGAUAAGGAGCUUGCUCCUUUGACGUUAGCGGCGGACGGGUGAGUAACACGUGGGUAACCUACCUAUAAGACUGGGAUAACUUCGGGAAACCGGAGCUAAUACCGGAUAACAUUUUGAACCGCAUGGUUCUAAAGUGAAAGAUGGUUUUGCUAUCACUUAUAGAUGGACCCGCGCCGUAUUAGCUAGUUGGUAAGGUAACGGCUUACCAAGGCAACGAUACGUAGCCGACCUGAGAGGGUGAUCGGCCACACUGGAACUGAGACACGGUCCAGACUCCUACGGGAGGCAGCAGUAGGGAAUCUUCCGCAAAGGGCGAAAGCCUGACGGAGCAACGCCGCGUGAGUGAUGAAGGGUUUCGGAUCGUAAAACUCUGUUAUUAGGGAAGAACAAAUGUGUAAGUAACUGUGCACGUCUUGACGGUACCUAAUCAGAAAGCCACGGCUAACUACGUG